rnacentral:rRNA from 1 species
GGCUCACCUAGGCGACGAUCCGUAGCGGGUCUGAGAGGAUGAUCCGCCACACUGGGACUGAGACACGGCCCAGACUCCUACGGGAGGCAGCAGUGGGGAAUUUUGGACAAUGGGGCGCAAGCCUGAUCCAGCCAUGCCGCGUGAGUGAAGAAGGCCUUCGGGGUUGUAAAGCUCUUUCGGCCGGGAAGAAAUCGUGGUCUCUAACAUAGGCCAUGGAUGACGGUACCGGACUAAGAAGCACCGGCUAACUACGUGCCAGCAGCCGCGGUAAUACGUAGGGUGCGAGCGUUAAUCGGAAUUACUGGGCGUAAAGCGUGCGCAGGCGGUUUUGUAAGACAGAUGUGAAAUCCCCGGGGCUUAACCUGGGGAACUGCGUUUGUGACUGCAAGGCUAGAGUACGGCAGAGGGGGGUGGAAUUCCUGGUGUAGCAGUGAAAUGCGUAGAGAUCAGGAGGAACACCGAUGGCGAAGGCAGCCCCCUGGGCCUGUACUGACGCUCAUGCACGAAAGCGUGGGGAGC